UGCUUUCUUUACCACUUGCAGUGCUUAAUAUCAGUAAGAGAAAGCAGUUUGACAGCUUCAAAGUGAACUGAAGUCAACCUGAAAAAAAUGUGAACGAAUCUCAACACUUGAAAUCGAUGCAAUGCAACAGCAGCCACAUACCGAUGCCUUGAUCAACAACGAAUUCCAAUAACUUUGAAAACGGAAUAUAUGUAUUUCAAAACGGGUGAACAGUGAAUCGAACAACAAAAGUCACAGGACUUCAAACAUUUUUUUUGUAUAUGUGCUUUUUGGAAUCAACACUGCGAAUAAAAAAAAGAGAAUAAAUGUGAAGAACACUAGCUAAAAAAACCACCCUAUCUAAAAUCCGAUCCUGUCCUUUAUAGAGACGAACCCCUGAUGAAAAUGUGGCUUGGAUUGAACGAAGUCAAUCCAACGACUCAUCCUCAUCCAAUGAUACGUCUCUAGGACCUUCCAAUCGCAUGCUAAAUCUCUCACCUGAGCGAGUGAAUGGAGGGAGCAUUUUUAGUUCCAGAAAUUGUUAGAAAUGGUGAUGUAAGAGAAGGAGGGACACAUGAGGAGGAAUUUGAGACUCACUCACUCAAAAUCUUGGCGAUUUUGGGAAGGGAUUCGUGCGAUUUGGUGAGGAGGAUGAACAGUGUGCGUUUGGGUUAGGGAUUUAGGUCGUUUGGAUCUCUGUGUAUGUAUCGCUUGUUUUUUGUGUGAAUGGGUUGGGUAUGGGGUUAUUGGGUGUGG
rnacentral:lncRNA from 1 species